AGUGAACGCUGGCGGUAGGCCUAACACAUGCAAGUCGAACGGCAGCACAGUAAGAGCUUGCUCUUACGGGUGGCGAGUGGCGGACGGGUGAGGAAUACAUCGGAAUCUACUUUUUCGUGGGGGAUAACGUAGGGAAACUUACGCUAAUACCGCAUACGACCUACGGGUGAAAGCAGGGGAUCUUCGGACCUUGCGCGAUUGAAUGAGCCGAUGUCGGAUUAGCUAGUUGGCGGGGUAAAGGCCCACCAAGGCGACGAUCCGUAGCUGGUCUGAGAGGAUGAUCAGCCACACUGGAACUGAGACACGGUCCAGACUCCUACGGGAGGCAGCAGUGGGGAAUAUUGGACAACGGGCGGAAGCCUGAUCCAGCCAUACCGCGUGGGUGAAGAAGGCCUUCGGGUUGUAAAGCCCUUUUGUUGGGAAAGAAAAGCAGCAGGUUAAUACCCCGCUGUUCUGACGGUACCCAAAGAAUAAGCACCGGCUAACUUCGUG
rnacentral:rRNA from 1 species